UCUGUUGUAAGGGAAGAACAUUCAGGAUAGGAAAUGAUCUUGAACUGACGGUACCUUACCAGAAAGCCACGGCUAACUACGUGCCAGCAGCCGCGGUAAUACGUAGGUGGCAAGCGUUAUCCGGAAUUAUUGGGCGUAAAGGGUGCGUAGGCGGUUUAUUAAGUCUAUGGUGAAAGUGCGGGGCUCAACCCCGUAUGGCCAUAGAAACUGGUAGACUUGAGUGCAGGAGAGGGCAAUGGAAUUCCAUGUGUAGCGGUAAAAUGCGUAGAUAUAUGGAGGAACACCAGUGGCGAAGGCGGUUGCCUGGCCUGUAACUGACGCUGAAGCACGAAAGCGUGGGGAGCAAAUAGGAUUAGAUACCCUAGUAGUCCACGCCGUAAACGAUGAAUACUAAGUGUUGGAGAAAUUCAGUGCUGCAGUUAACGCAAUAAGUAUUCCCGCCUGGGGAGUAUGCACGCAAGUGUGAAACUCAAA
rnacentral:rRNA from 1 species